rnacentral:rRNA from 1 species
GCUAUCACGGCGGGAAAGCUCCGGCGGCGCGGGAUGGGGUGGCGGCCCAUCAGGUAGUGGGUGGGGUAGAGGCCGGCCCAGCCGAGGACGGGUAGCCGGGUUGAGAGACCGACCGGCCACAUUGGGACUGAGAUACGGCCCAGACUCCUACGGGAGGCAGCAGUGGGGAAUAUUGAACGGUGGGGGCAACCCUGACGCAGCAACGCCGCGUGCGGGUAGAGGGCACUCGUGUCGUAAACCGCUUCAGCAGGGAAG